rnacentral:rRNA from 1 species
GACGAACGUUGGCGGCGUGCUUAAUACAUGCAAGUCCAUUGAAGCAGUGGUAGCAAUAUCGCUGUGGAGGUGGCGCACGGGUGAGUAACACGUAGGUAAUCUGCCUUCAGGUCUGGCAUAACUCCGGGAAACCGGGGCUAAUAGCAGAUGAUGCAGCGGCUCGACAUCGAGACAGUUGUUAAAGCUAUGGCGCCUGAAGAUGAGCCUGCGUCUGAUUAGCUAGUUGGCGGGGUAACGGCCCACCAAGGCAACGAUCAGUAGCUGGUCUGAGAGGAUGAUCAGCCACACUGGAACUGAGACACGGUCCAGACUCCUACGGGAGGCAGCAGUAAGGAAUAUUGCUCAAUGGGAGAAAUCCUGAAGCAGCAACGCCGCGUGAGGGACGAAGGGCUUUUGCUUGUAAACCUCUGUAGUGAGAGAAAAAAAUCCCAAUCUUUGGGACAUGAUGGUAUCUCAAAAGUAAGCCCCGGCUAACUACGUG